rnacentral:rRNA from 1 species
CCUACGGGAGGCAGCAGUGGGGAAUAUUGGACAAUGGGGGAAACCCUGAAGCAGCAACGCAGCGUGAGUGAAGAAGGCUCUCGGAUUGUUAAGCUCUGUUUGUAGGGAAGUGGAAGGACGGUCGCUGCAGAUGAAGCAACGGCGAAGUACGUGCCAGCAGCCGCGGUAAUACGUAGGUGGCAAGCGUUUUUCGGAAUAACUAGGCGUAACGGAUGCGUAGGCGGUUAAACAAGUUAGAUGUUAAAUAUUUAGGCUUAACCUGUAGAAAGCAUAUGAAACUGGUUAACUAGAGUGCAGGAGAGGUAAGUGGAAUUCCUAGUGUAGCGGUGAAAUGCUUAGAGAUUAGGAAGAACACCAGUGGCGAAGGCGACUUACUGGACUGUAACUGACGCUGAGGCAUGAGAGCAUGGGGAGCAAACAGGAUUAGAUACCCCGGUAGUC